rnacentral:rRNA from 1 species
GACGAACGCUGGCGGCGUGCUUAACACAUGCAAGUCGAACGAAGUGGCGAACGGGUGAGUAACGCGUAAUCAACCUGCCCUUCAGAGGGGGACAACAGUUGGAAACGACUGCUAAUACCGCAUACUGAAGGAGGGGAUUGCGACUGAUUAGCUAGAUGGAGGGGUAACGGCCCACCAAGGCGAUGAUCAGUAGCCUGUCUGAGAGGAUGAACAGGCACAUUGGGACAGAGACAAGGCCCAGCAUGCUACGGGAAGCAGCCGUGGGGAAACUUCCGCAAUGGACGUAAGUCUGACGGAGCAACGCCGCGUGAGUGAUGACGGCCUUCGGGUUGUAAAGCUCUGUUAAUCGGGACGCGGUACCGGAAUAGAAAGCCACGGCUAACUACGUGCCAGCAGCCGCGGUAAUUC